rnacentral:rRNA from 1 species
AAAUUGAAGAGUUUGAUCAUGGCUCAGAUUGAACGCUGGCGGCAGGCCUAACACAUGCAAGUCGAACGGUAACAGGAAACAGCUUGCUGUUUCGCUGACGAGUGGCGGACGGGUGAGUAAUGUCUGGGAAACUGCCCGAUGGAGGGGGAUAACUACUGGAAACGGUAGCUAAUACCGCAUAACGUCGCAAGACCAAAGAGGGGGACCUUCGGGCCUCUUGCUAUCGGAUGUGCCCAGAUGGGAUUAGCUAGUAGGUGGGGUAACGGCUCACCUAGGCGACGAUCCCUAGCUGGUCUGAGAGGAUGACCAGCCACACUGGAACUGAGACACGGUCCAGACUCCUACGGGAGGCAGCAGUGGGGAAUAUUGCACAAUGGGCGCAAGCCUGAUGCAGCCAUGCCGCGUGUAUGAAGAAGGCCUUCGGGUUGUAAAGUACUUUCAGCGGGGAGGAAGGGAGUAAAGUUAAUACCUUUACUCAUUGACGUUACCCGCAGAAGAAGCACCGGCUAACUCCGUGCCAGCAGCCGCGGUAAUACGGAGGGUGCAAGCGUUAAUCGGAAUUACUGGGCGUAAAGCGCAC